GAGCGAACGGACGAGAAGCUUGCUUCUCUGAUGUUAGCGGCGGACGGGUGAGUAACACGUGGAUAACCUACCUAUAAGACUGGGAUAACUUCGGGAAACCGGAGCUAAUACCGGAUAAUAUUUUGAACCGCAUGGUUCAAAAGUGAAAGACGGUCUUGCUGUCACUUAUAGAUGGAUCCGCGCUGCAUUAGCUAGUUGGUAAGGUAACGGCUUACCAAGGCAACGAUGCAUAGCCGACCUGAGAGGGUGAUCGGCCACACUGGAACUGAGACACGGUCCAGACUCCUACGGGAGGCAGCAGUAGGGAAUCUUCCGCAAUGGGCGAAAGCCUGACGGAGCAACGCCGCGUGAGUGAUGAAGGUCUUCGGAUCGUAAAACUCUGUUAUUAGGGAAGAACAUAUGUGUAAGUAACUGUGCACAUCUUGACGGUACCUAAUCAGAAAGCCACGGCUAACUACGUGCAAGCAGCCGCGGUAAUACGUAGGUGGCAAGCGUUAUCCGGAAUUAUUGGGCGUAAAGCGCGCGUAGGCGGUUUUUUAAGUCUGAUGUGAAAGCCCACGGCUCAACCGUGGAGGGUCAUUGGAAACUGGAAAACUUGAGUGCAGAAGAGGAAAGUGGAAUUCCAUGUGUAGCGGUGAAAUGCGCAGAGAUAUGGAGGAACACCAGUGGCGAAGGCGACUUU
rnacentral:rRNA from 1 species